rnacentral:rRNA from 1 species
UACGUAGGGGGCUAGCGUUGUUCGGAAUUAUUGGGCGUAAAGGGUGCGUAGGCGGUUUGAUAAGUCUGAUGUGAAAUCUAUGGGCUCAACCCAUAGUCUGCAUUAGAAACUGUCGGGCUUGAGUAUGGGAGAGGUGAGUGGAAUUUCCGGUGUAGCGGUGAAAUGCGUAGAUAUCGGAAGGAACACCUGUGGCGAAAGCGGCUCACUGGACCAUUACUGACGCUGAUGCACGAAAGCUAGGGGAGCAAACAGG